UACGAAGGGGGCUAGCGUCGCUCGGAAUUACUGGGCGUAAAGGGCGCGUAGGCGGAUAGUUUAGUCAGAGGUAAAAGCCCAGGGCUCAACCUUGGAACUGCCUUUGAUACUGGCUAUCUUGAGUACGGGAGAGGUGUGUGGAACUCCGAGUGUAGAGGUGAAAUUCGUAGAUAUUCGGAAGAACACCAGUGGCGAAGGCGACACACUGGCCCGUUACUGACGCUGAGGCGCGAAAGCGUGGGGAGCAAACAGG
rnacentral:rRNA from 1 species